rnacentral:rRNA from 1 species
GACGAACGCUGGCGGCGUGCUUAACACAUGCAAGUCGAGCGAUGAAGCUCCUUCGGGAGUGGAUUAGCGGCGGACGGGUGAGUAACACGUGGGUAACCUGCCUCAUAGAGGGGAAUAGCCUUUCGAAAGGAAGAUUAAUACCGCAUAAGAUUGUAGUAUCGCAUGAUACAGCAAUUAAAGGAGUAAUCCGCUAUGAGAUGGACCCGCGUCGCAUUAGCUAGUUGGUGAGGUAACGGCUCACCAAGGCGACGAUGCGUAGCCGACCUGAGAGGGUGAUCGGCCGCAUUGGGACUGAGACACGGCCCAGACUCCUACGGGGGGCAGCAGUGGGGAAUAUUGCACAAUGGGGGAAACCUUGAUGCAGCAACGCCGCGUGAGUGAUGACGGUCUUCGGAUUGUAAAGCUCUGUCUUCAGGGACGAUAAUGACGGUACCUGAGGAGGAAGCCACGGCUAACUACGUGCCAGCCGCCGCUGUAAAAC